rnacentral:rRNA from 1 species
UACGUAGGGUGCGAGCGUUAACCGGAAUUACUGGGCGUAAAGCGUGUGCAGGCGGUCUGUUAAGACAGGUGUGAAAUCCCCGGGCUUAACCUGGGAAUGGCGCUUGUUACUGGCAGACUAGAGUGCGUCAGAGGGGGGUGGAAUUCCACGUGUAGCAGUGAAAUGCGUAGAGAUGUGGAGGAACACCGAUGGCGAAGGCAGCCCCCUGGGAUGACACUGACGCUCAUACACGAAAGCGUGGGGAGCAAACAGG